rnacentral:rRNA from 1 species
CCUACGGGAGACAGCAGUGGGGAAUAUUGGGCAAUGGGCGCAAGCCUGACCCAGCAACGCCGCGUGAAGGAAGUAGGCUUUCGGGUUGUAAACUUCUUUUGUCAGGGAAGAGUAGAAGACGGUACCUGACGAAUAAGCCACGGCUAACUACGUGCCAGCAGCCGCGGUAAUACGUAGGUGGCAAGCGUUGUCCGGAUUUACUGGGUGUAAAGGGCGUGUAGCCGGGUUGACAAGUCAGAUGUGAAAUCCUGCGGCUUAACCGCAGAACUGCAUUUGAAACUGUUGAUCUUGAGUACUGGAGAGGCAGACGGAAUUCCUAGUGUAGCGGUGAAAUGCGUAGAUAUUAGGAGGAACACCAGUGGCGAAGGCGGUCUGCUGGGCAGCAACUGACGGUGAGGCGCGAAAGCGUGGGGAGCAAACAGGAUUAGAUACCCCUGUAGUC